UAAUUUGUGUACUAGCAAAGCGGACAUUUUAGAAGUUUGAAGGUAAAGGAGAUUAGCUGACGACUUUCAUAUAAUAUUUUCGUCUCAGAAAUUUGAGGUGUAGUUAUGCUGGUUUUAUAAUUUAAUUCAAGAACCGGGUCGACCUCGUUUUUGAACUAGUAAAGAAGUUGAGUCCAAUAUUUUUGUAUCGUAUGCGGGCGAGAUCCUGCUGCUAGCCCGUCAUUUUGCAAGUGUGCGUUGUUUUUUAGGCCGUUAAAAGAGGGCCCUUUCAGCUCUGACGCCAAAUCUCGUUUUUUUUWWACUUCAAAAUAGACGUAUGGCCCGUGAACGUAUAAAUUAUAACUUGUGUCUUUGUGAUUUUAUUAAGAUAGCUAGAUUAGAAGCCCUUUGGAAUAUUGCUAGGCCAACUGGCUUGCUAGCUAACAAUUGACAACCCCGCGUGCGCCAUCAGCUUUGUGAACGUGAAUUAGCCAUUAGCUAGCUAGUUUACGUUACUUACUAAUCUAAUUUAGAGACCAUGGCAGAGUUGUACAUUCGCGUGGGAGAGGAUGAAAACGAAGAGCCAAUGGAGAUCCCAUCUGAGGACGAUGGCACUGUUUUGCUGUCAACAGUAGCAGCCCAGUUUCCCGGAGCGUGCGGCCUACGUUACAGGAGCCCUGCGUCUCAGUGCAUGCGAGGCGUCCGUCUAGUUGAGGGCAUCUUGCAUGCACCUGAGAAUGACUGGGGUAGUCUGGUGUACGUCGUCAACUACCCAAAAGAUAACAAAAGGAAGAUGGAUGAAAUGGAUGCUGCCUCUGCUGUAAAAAUGAAGAGAGGUAUUGAUAGAACAUCAGACCUCAUUAUCCUUGGGUUGCCAUGGAAAACAUCUGAGCAAGAUUUGAAAGACUACUUCGCCACUUUUGGAGAAGUCAUCAUGGUGCAGGUCAAAAGAGAUGUCAAGACUGGGAACUCAAAAGGGUUUGGCUUUGUUCGGUUCACUGAGUAUGAGACUCAAUCCAAAGUGAUUUCUCAGCGACACAUGAUCGAUGGAAGAUGGUGUGACUGCAAACUACCAAACUCUAAGGCAGGGCCUGAUGAGCCCAUGCGCAACUGUAAAAUCUUUGUUGGCCGCUGCACAGAGGACAUUACCACCGAUGAGCUCCGGCAGUUCUUCAUGCAGUAUGGCGAGGUCACCGACGUCUUCAUUCCCAAACCCUUCCGGGCGUUUGCAUUUGUCACUUUCUCAGACGACCAGGUUGCCUCAGCAUUGUGCGGAGAGGACCUGAUCAUCAAGGGUGUCAGCGUGCACAUCUCCAACGCCGAGCCUAAGCACAAUAAUAUUAACCAACUGUUUUCGAAUUUCCCGGGAAGAAGCCCCUCGUUGGCAGCAAUGUUCGACCGAACUCAGUAUCGGUACCCCUCUUCCCAUGUGUAAAUGCUUUGCCAUCAAAAGACACAGCUUCACUCUGCAUAUACUGUGUUAGACGGGGGGACCUUGGACACGGCUGGCCCAAGUUUACAUCUGAACCCCAGAGUGAAGUCAAUUUUCGGGAAGUUGAAGACUGGAGUUUGCACUGUUGGUUGGGGGCUGCAGAAUGCCUUAUGCCUGGAAAGGGACUUCUUCACCUCACUAACAAGACCCCUUGGAUCACCCCACUGAAAUUUAUAACAGACCAUUCUCAAAUUGGGCAGAGGUAUUUAGUUGUAUACCUUCAAACAAGUACAUUUUAAAAGCAACGCCAACAUUUAAUUUAUGUAACGAAUUACCUGCUAUUUAGUGACCAUGUUUUUGUUGAGUCCUUUUUUUAUAUAUAUAUAUAUAUAUUUUUUUUUAGAAAUGACCCGACUCUAAAUCUUACAUUUGAAAGAUUCCUUUUGUGUCAUUCAUUUAUGCUUUGUCCCAAUACAGCCAUCGGUUAUUGUAAAUGGAAAGAUUUAAGUUAAAGGCUUUUAUUAAAAGUAUUCCGUUGAUCUCUUUUUCAUGUGGUUCGAAAUGUACAAGUUUUGUUGGAUUUACGGGACCAUAAAUUAUUUUACGGCUGUAAAGGGGAGUGACUCGAGUCAGUUUUACAGGGUUUUAGAUAUUUGGAAAAUUCUUGAACUCGCCAGUGGCAGGUUCAAUGAGUUAGCCAGCUAACUUGCCUAUAUAUUUUGAAAACUUUUGGGCAUGGUCUAAUUGACUCGAACAACCAACAACACAUAUGUAAGUUUAGCUUCUGGUUCUUUAUCAAAGUUAGCUGGCUAACUAAUUGAACCUACUUUAUAGUAUACCCCUCACAAAUUGUGUUACUUAUGUACAGACAUGGAACUCUUAUUUUUAGUUCACUGAAGUGUAAAAUAAAGUUUUAAAUUUGUAAUAA